rnacentral:rRNA from 1 species
AACGAACGCUGGCGGCAUGCCUAACACAUGCAAGUCGAACGAGACCUUCGGGUCUAGUGGCGCACGGGUGCGUAACGCGUGGGAACCUGCCCUUAGGUUCGGAAUAACUCCCCGAAAGGGGUGCUAAUACCGGAUAAUGUCUUCGGACCAAAGAUUUAUCGCCUUUGGAUGGGCCCGCGUUGGAUUAGCUAGUUGGUAGGGUAAAAGCUUACCAAGGCGACGAUCCAAAGCUGGUCUGAGAGGAUGAUCAGCCACACUGGGACUGAGACACGGCCCAGACUCCUACGGGAGGCAGCAGUGGGGAAUAUUGGACAAUGGGCGAAAGCCUGAUCCAGCAAUGCCGCGUGAGUGAUGAAGGCCUUAGGGUUGUAAAGCUCUUUUACCCGGGAUGAUAAUGACAGUACCGGGAGAAUAAGCUCCGGCUAACUCCGUG